rnacentral:rRNA from 1 species
UAGGGAAUCUUCCGCAAUGGGCGAAAGCCUGACGGAGCAACGCCGCGUGAGUGAUGAAGGUCUUCGGAUCGUAAAACUCUGUUAUUAGGGAAGAACAAAUGUGUAAGUAACUAUGCACGUCUUGACGGUACCUAAUCAGAAAGCCACGGCUAACUACGUGCCAGCAGCCGCGGUAAUACGUAGUUUGCAAGCGUUAUCCGGAAUUAUUGGGCGUAAAGCGCGCGUAGGCGGUUUUUUAAGUCUGACGUGAAAGCACACGGCUCAACCGUGGAGGGUCAUUGGAAACUGGAAAACUUGAGUGCAGUAGAGGAAAGUGGAAUUCCAUGUGUAGCGGUGAAAUGCGCAGAGAUAUGGAGGAACACCAGUGGCGAAGGCGACUUUCUGGUCUGUAACUGACGCUGAUGUGCGAAAGCGUGGGGAUCAAACAGG